AGAAGAAAUAAUAAAAAAAAAAAUCAUCUGGACCUUUUCCCCAGUCUUCAAAAGUUUGGGUGAGUCUGUGUCCAUGAUAGCCUCAGAGUCCUGUUCUUGGCUGAAAGGAGUGGAACCCAGUGUAGUCGUCUGCUGUUGUAGCUCAUCCACCUCAAGGUUCAAUUUUUUGUGCCUGCUGAGAUGCUUUCCUGCUCACCAUAGUUGUAGAGUGAUUGAGUUACUAUUUCUUUCCUGGCAGCUAGAACCAAUCUUUCCAUUUUUUAAGCCAGUGACAUCCACAGAACUGUCACUCACUUGAUGAUUUUUUGUUGUUGUUGUUCAAACCAGCCCAUCUGGUACCAACAACCAUGCCACAGUUAAAGUCACAGAGAUCACCAGUUUUUCUUCAUUCUGGUAUACAAUGUGAACCUUGACCAGUAUCUGCAUGUUUUUGUGCAUAGCACUGCUGCCACAUGAUUGGCUGAUUAGAUAACUGCAUGAAUGUGCAGGUGUACAGGUGUUACUAAUAAUGGACAGUGAGUGUACGUUUACAUUUUGUACCUAGCUCUUGAACUUUUUGCAGUGAUACCAUCUUCACAUGCAUGAACAACAUUUUCCAAGACCACUUACGGAACAAAACUCCUUGCAGUCUGGUAUUUUUGAAGCUCCUUUUUUGUCCUCGACCAACCCAGUUCAGCUCAGAACCGACAGUGAAAGACAAGACUGCGUGCAUCAGGCGUCUAACUGCAUCAUCCACGGUUGCACCACCCAUCCGAGACAGGUGAGACACCUGUAGUUACAGACAAUGCAUGCAAUGUGGUACAUAAACUAUGCACCAAAAUUUUUAGUGACAGGAAGGAUAUGAGGGGUAAAUAUGUAUGACAUAACAUAAAAACUCAUGCCAAACAUUUUUCAAUUAUACAACUACCAUGGGUUUAAAAUGCAAUGCCACAUAAAUAACCAAUAUUUUUUAUUAGGUUUUACCAUUCUCUUCUGCGCUUCAUCGUUCUCCAAAUAUCUCUCUGUUUCAUCAAGCUGUUCCAUUGUCUGUAGUGGUAGAUCUAUAUCCAGAGUUUCAACAUCCUCCUCACACAUGUGUCCUUGAAUCAUUGCUUGCAGGUCUUUCAGCACAGUCCACUGCCUCUGUUGUUCUUCUUUUAUUUCCAGCAGGAGUGAUAUGAUUUUUUUUUGAGCUGCAGUUUCUGGUGAGGACGAGGAGGAUGUGGAUGUGUUGGUCAUCAACUUUUUUUCCUCCACUAGCUCUUCGUUAUAAGACUCCGGCAGGGAACCUGCGAUGAAGUGUGGUUCAGUCCGCCGCGCUAAAUCCUCCAAACGUUUCGAGUCUUCUCGUCUGGAUAUUUCAGCAGACAGAUGGUUCAUUUCCUGGGACACAGCGGAGAGUCUCUGCUGAAGUGUAUCCAGUGCCAUGUCUGCCAUGUGUUUGUUCACCAGUCCCUCCAC
ensembl:lncRNA